CAGCCAAGGUCAGCGUCCACCAAGCCUUUUUUUCAACUUUUGACCUCGGAUCAGGUAGGGAUACCC
rnacentral:rRNA from 1 species